GGAGUCGUGGUUCGCAAUCCAUCCCACGUAAAAAAACUAGGAGGUC
rnacentral:ncRNA from 2 species